AGACAUUUUCAAAAAUACAUUCUUUAUUAAGUGGCAAAACACUUUUAUGCUCUUGUUCUUUAUAUAUAUAUAAUAAUAAAUAUUUAAAUAAAUUUUAACUUUUUAUCGAAUUAUACUAUUUCGAAUUUCAAACCUUAAACCCUAAAACUUAACUAUAAACUCUAAACCAUCAAUCCUAAACUCUAUUUUGUUUUUAAAUACGAACCCAAAACCCUAAACCCUAAACCAUCAAUCCUAAAUCCUAUUUUUUUAAAAUACGAACCCUAAACCCUGAAACAUCAACUCUAAACCCUAAACCCCGAAACAUCAACUCUAAACCCUAAACCCUAAACCUUCAACUCUAAACCCUAAACUUCAACUAUAAACCCUAAACCAUCAACACUAAACCCUAAACUAUCAACACUAAACCCUAAACUCUAAAAAGUAAACUCUAAACCCUAAACCCUAAAAAAAUAAACCCUAAACCCUAAAACAUCAACUCUAAACCCUAAACCUUCAACUCUAAACCCUAAAUCCUAAACCCUAAAUCCUAAACCCUAAACCCUAAACCCUAAAA
rnacentral:lncRNA from 1 species